UACGUAGGGUGCGAGCGUUGUCCAGAAUUAUUGGGCGUAAAGAGCUCGUAGGCGGCUUGUCGCGUCGGAUGUGAAAGCCCGGGGCUUAACUCCGGGUCUGCAUUCGAUACGGGCAGGCUAGAGUGUGGUAGGGGAGAUCGGAAUUCCUGGUGUAGCGGUGAAAUGCGCAGAUAUCAGGAGGAACACCGGUGGCGAAGGCGGAUCUCUGGGCCAUUACUGACGCUGAGGAGCGAAAGCGUGGGGAGCGAACAGG
rnacentral:rRNA from 1 species